ensembl:miRNA
UAUUAGGUUGGUGCAAAAGUAAUUGCAGUUUUUGCCAUUAUUUUUAAUGAGAAAAACUGCAAUAAAGUUUUCACCAACCUAAUAUCUUA